ensembl:lncRNA
GGUCUCCCUGAAGCCUGAGGACCGAGCCGCCUCUCUCCCUGGUUCCCUCCUUUUCAGCAAGUGGGGAGUCUGGCUGGACUGUUGUUUAACCCUCAGCUGGCCAGAAGCCCCUGUUCUGCUAAACCCCUCUAAGUUCUUUCCUUCCCUUUUCCCAGGAUAGGCAAGUUGGAGGAUGAGCCUCCAGGAGCUUCUCAGAUCCUGGUGAUGAGACAGCAGUGCUGGAAGAGAAGCCCCUGGGGAGGGACUGACAACUGGUGAACCUGUUUAGGGAAGCACCUUCAAAGAGAAGACCCCUGACCAUCCUGUGGUCACUUCUCAGCUUUCAAGGAGAGAGGGGUGCUCCUCUUUAAGCAUCCCCUUGGGAAUUCAGCCUGGCCCUCUAUUUUCUCUGCCUCUGCUCCUGAGAGGGAUCUCGGGACCCAGUGUCCUCAGACGACCUGCUGAAGGACAUCACCUCCACCCCACACUGUGUGAAAACUUUGUCUACAAACCACCCUCAAGAAAAUAUGCUACAGGCUGGGCCCCUUAGAAGUGAAGUGAAGUCGCUCAGUCGUAUCCGACUCUUUGUGACCCCAUGGACUGUAGCCUACCAGGCUCCUCGGUCUAUGGGAUUUUCCAGGCAAGAGUACUGGAGUGGGUUGCCAUUGCCUUCUCCAGGGGAUCUUCCCAACCCAGGGAUCAAACCCGGGUCUCCCACAUUCUAGACAGAUGCUUUACCAUCUGAGCUACCAAGGAACUUAGAAGCAGCUAACUAAUAAUUCUCCCCAAGGUUUCUCAGUUCCUCUUGGUUUAGCAGAAAAUUUAGCUACAUUCUUGUGGAUCACAGGUGGUGAACUCUCUUGCUAAUGAUUGUGGGGAGUGACACAAACAUUGCUUUGGCCAGAAUUACCUGUGAAAAUCUCUUAGGAAGGUAACAUUGGAGCCUAAAAUAUUGUUCCUCAGUCAGACCAACUGCUCCAUUUCCCCUUUUGGAAAAAAGGAUGUUUCUGGAGCCUAGAUUAAAUGAGGCACUUAUGGCUACUGCCCACUGUUAUACUAAGAAUUUUUUAUUUAAACAUUAGAAU